rnacentral:rRNA from 1 species
UAAGGAAUAUUGGUCAAUGGACGCAAGUCUGAACCAGCCAUGCCGCGUGAAGGAUGAAGGUCCUCUGGAUUGUAAACUUCUUUUAUCUGGGACGAAAACGGGAUUUUUAUCUCAAUUGACGGUACCAGAGGAAUAAGCACCGGCUACCUCCGUGCCAGCAGCCGCGGUAAUACGGAGGGUUCGAGCGUUAUCCGGAUUUACUGGGUUUAAAGGGUGCGUAGGUGGGCUUAUAAGUCAGUGGUGAAAUCUCCGAGCUUAACUUGGAGACUGCCGUUGAUACUAUAGGUCUUGAAUGAUCUGGGGNUAGGCGGAAUAUGUCAUUUGGCGGUGAAAUGCUUAGAUAUGACAUAGAACACCAAUUGCGAAGGCAGCUUACUACAUAUAAAUUGACGCUGA